ensembl:ncRNA C29H12.8 ncRNA
GGGAUAAGAAUGAAAGAGUCAUUAUUUAUAACCAGUGAGGAGACUCACUGCACUGAUGUCUGUUAUUUUUUAUACGCCACUAGAAAUAACGAAAAGAACAAUGUGAAGAACUUUACUGCUGUUUCGAUACAGAGAGUGCAACGGAGGUUAGUGGUAAGUUCGUUCCCAAACUAAAUUGAGAUGUGGAGAAUCCCUGGACCAAGC